CCCUUAGAUGUUCUGGGCCGCACGCGCGCUACACUGAUGCAUUCAACGAGUCUAAAACCUGCUCUGAUAGGGGUGGGUAAUCUUUUGAAUGUGCAUCGUGAUUGGGAUAGAUGAUUGCAAUUUUUCAUCUUCAACGAGGAAUGCCUAGUAAACGCAAGUCAUCAGCUUGCAUUGAUUACGUCCCUGCCCUUUGUACACACCGCCCGUCGCUCCUACCGAUUGAAUGAUCCGAUGAAUAUCAUGGAUUGAGGAUGCAAGUAGGUUCGCCUAUCUUCAUCUUCGAGAAGUGAAGUAAAUCUUAUCAUUUAGAGGAAGGUGAAGUCGUAACA
rnacentral:rRNA from 1 species